rnacentral:RNase_P_RNA from 1 species
GGAGCAAGUCGGGUAAUCGCUUUUGCUCAAACGGCAACAGAGGAAAGUCCGAACACCAAAGGGCGGCGAGCCGGAUAACGUCCGGGCGUUUGCUUUGAAUAAAAGCGAAUGACGACAAGUGCAACAGAAAACAGACCAGCCAAUCCGAUUUGGGAUUUUAGAUUUCGGAUUUUGGAUUGGUGAUGGGUGAAAUGGUGCGGUUCAAUUGAACUUAAAGUAAGAGCGCACCGGCGCGUUUGGUAACAGACGCGGCUGGGUAAACUCCUCGUGGUGCAAGACCAAAUAGGGAAACGCAUUUUAAGCUGCCCGCUUAACGGACGCGCCUUCGGGCGAAUCCUGCGUUUUCGGGUAGGUCGCUUGAGCGGUUCGGUAACGAACCGCCUAGAUGAAUGAUUACCAACCGUCGCCACCAGCGGCGGAAACAAAAUUCGGCUUAUAGACUUGUUUCAUUU